GGGGUGUUAGCUCAGUUGGUUCAGAGCACUACCUCGACAAGGUAGGGGUCAUCAGUUCGAGCCUGAUACGCCCCACCA
rnacentral:tRNA from 1 species